CCUUCAAGACUCUGCUCAAAAUGUUUCUUUCUCAGUAAGGUCCCCCUGGAACCAUUCCAUCUGUGAUGACUGAUCUUGACUUCAACUCACUCAAUUGACAGAUGAAGAGGAGACUCCAAAUACCCACCCUGGGGAGUGUCGAGACUAUCUACCAUCCAGAACAGAAGUCUCCAUAAAUAUUGAACAAAUGGAUUAAACACUGCCUAUUGGAAAUAGUGAGAUGGCUCAGUGGGAAAAGUGUUUGCUGAGAUCCUGACUUCCAUCUCCAAGAAUCACAUGGUAGAAGAAGAAACUUAACAAGAAUUUGUGUGUUAUCCAAUUCAUGUCAACACUUGACAUUCUCUUGUUUUAAAACCCUGCAGCUUCUUACCACUUCCACAGACUCAGGUCACUUGGCAGAGCCUCAUGGUUUCUUCUGAAUCAAACUGCCAUUGCUGGUUCAUGAAUGGUGUUUGCAAGUGGAUUAAGCUACUGCUGCUGAUUUGUGUGAACUGAGCUGCUGAUAUUCUGACAACACAGAUCAGGUUUGCUCCAAAGAACUAUUUCUAAGCACCAGAACUCAAGCACACAGAGAAGAUGCUGUCCAUUCUGGGGGCCAGUCCCCUCGCCUCAAUCAAGCCUGUCUGGAGUUGCCCUCAGGAUAUACCCAGAGGCUCAAAAUCGAACGAUAAAAGGGAAGGAAACUGAACUUAUAAAAGAUGAAAGCUUUCAUCGCUCAGGAAAAAGGGCCACUUAAGACUGUGGAAGCCAUACCCAGCACUGCUGUUUGCAGAGGACAUAAUCAAGGAUGAGUGAGGGAGUGCUUGCUGGCACAGGACACUUUUCUUAAGCAAGAUUUAAGAUCCUGGAAGAGGAUCCACUGCUCCGACUCACAGAAGCUUAGGGAAAUGGCCAUCCGUAAGUGAGAAGCCGUGGGAGAUGAGCGCCAAGAACAUUAGCCAAGUCUGGACACCAGGUGGCAGCACUGGACUGUGGAAAGUAGAGCCUGAGCAGCAAUGUAAUUGAGCAUCCCAGUGGAAAAUCACAAUUCCUGACCAUGUUCCCAGUGAGUGUGGCACCUGAACAUGAUUAGACAAGAUGUACAAGCUUCUAAGCACGUCCAUGGAGACUGGGCUACUCUACAUAGAUGAAAUGUGCUUUCCUGCUGCAGACCAGAAAUGAGGAUGAUGGAGGCCCUGGGAUCCUGGUGUGGCCAUGGGAUUGCUUGUUCCAGUGAAUGGUUCCACAUCUAGAAGGGGCUGAGGCAGAAAUGAGAAAAUUUUGCCUCGUAUAUAUCAUGACAAUUACAUCUCUGACUGGGCCAUGCAAUUGUUCUGCCCUGAGACCUGGAGGGACCAAACGAUCUUCAAAAGUCCCAGAAUCUAGAGCCUUUUGCUGGAAGAACCCCGAAGCAAUGCCUCUUCAGAACCAAGGAUCACUUCCAGUGCCUGGAUCUUGAUUUUAGAAUGCUAUUCUAUGUUUCCAUUCCAACCCUGACAACU
rnacentral:lncRNA from 1 species